UACGAAGGGGGCUAGCGUUGCUCGGAAUCACUGGGCGUAAAGCGCGCGUAGGCGGACUCUUAAGUCGGUGGUGAAAUCCUGGAGCUCAACUCCAGAACUGCCUUCGAUACUGAGAGUCUUGAGUCCGGGAGAGGUGAGUGGAACUGCGGGUGUAGAGGUGAAAUUCGUAGAUAUUCGCAAGAACACCAGUGGCGAAGGCGGCUCACUGGGCCGGUACUGACGCUGAGGUGCGAAAGCGUGGGGAGCAAACAGG
rnacentral:rRNA from 1 species